GACGAACGCUGGCGGCGUGCUUAACACAUGCAAGUCGAACGGAAAGGCCCUGCUUUUGUGGGGUGCUCGAGUGGCGAACGGGUGAGUAACACGUGAGUAACCUGCCCUUGACUUUGGGAUAACUUCAGGAAACUGGGGCUCAUACCGGAUAGGAGCUCCUGCUGCAUGGUGGGGUUUGGAAAGUUUCGGAGGUUGGGGAUGGACUCGCGGCUUAUCAGCUUGUUGGUGGGGUAGUGGCUUACCAAGGCUUUGACGGGUAGCCGGCCUGAGAGGGUGACCGGCCACAUUGGGACUGAGAUACGGCCCAGACUACUACGGGAGGCAGCAGUGGGGAAUAUUGCACAAUGGGCGGAAGCCUGAUGCAGCAACGCCGCGUGCGGGAUGACGGCCUUCGGGUUGUAAACCGCUUUCGCCUGUGACGAAGCGUGAGUGACGGUAAUGGGUAAAGAAGCACCGGCUAACUACGUG
rnacentral:rRNA from 1 species